GUGCCAGCAGCCGCGGUAAGACGAACCGUGCGAACGUUGUUCGGAAUCACUGGGCUUAAAGGGCGCGUAGGCGGUCUGCCAAGUCAGGGGUGAAAGCCUCCAGCUUAACUGGAGAAGUGCCCUUGAUACUGGCGGACUCGAGGGAGGCAGGGGUCGUGGGAACUUCCGGUGGAGCGGUGAAAUGCGUUGAUAUCGGAAGGAACGCCGGUGGCGAAAGCGCACGACUGGUCCUCUUCUGACGCUGAGGCGCGAAAGCCAGGGGAGCAAACGGGAUUAGAUACCCCAGUAGUCC
rnacentral:rRNA from 1 species